AUAAGUCAGAGAAAACUAAUUAUUUUAACUAAAUGUCGGUGGUAGAUUAAUUUUGUAUGGUAAAAAUUUCUGACAAUUUCCCUUCAUCAUCUCAACCUCCGUCUGGUCUGAAAAUCUCCGGAGGUUUCAAUAAUGGGCGACACCGGAGAUAUCGACGGCAUUGAAGAAGGCCCAUGCGGAUGUACACUGCGAUGCGGCAAAAGAAUCAGCGGCGUAGAUAAUGGUUUCGAAGAUGAGAGGUAUUCGGUUUCGAUAGGAUACUUUUUACGAAUAAGGAUGAAGCACUUCGGAUGCUUGUUAGACGCCUAAAGAGGACUGGAUCGUAAGGAUGGAGAAAGCGAGAUGGUAUAACUUUGGGAUCAGAUUCGAAGCAUAAGUUGUAGUGCAGGUCAAAGAUAUAGGGUAAGAGUUGGGAGAAGUUCAGGAUAAAUUGGAUAAAGUAAUGAACAGGAACUACAUGAGAAAAUUUAGCAGGAAAUAUUGCUACUAACAUAUAUAUGUCAUUACGGCUUCAGAACUCUCUUGGUCAUGGUGAAUCCACGGUUGUCGGUUAUGGCUCUCAUCUGGAAGAACAGCUCAUGACUCGGGAAAUGGACAUGUCAGGCAAGUGUAAGCCUAAAGGUACCAGUGAAUACUGACUUUGCCUUCAUUAAAAGAAGCUAAGAAUCAGAACCUUUUAAAAAUGGCCAUAGAAUCUGUCUAGUGGAAAAAUCUGUUUUCUUGGAUAUGUAACUGGUUCCUCCCGCGAAGACUUAAGCAACAUGUGCAAACGUGUGUGUUGAUAUUUUAUGAAACUUGACAGUAAUGCGGAAAGAUAAUAGUGGGGUAUCAGAGUGACGCUUUUCAGAAAAAGAAAAAGAAGAGUACUGAAACGUGGGAUAAUAUUAUCUUCUAAACAGGUUCUUUAUUAUGUGGCAUCAGAACGUACGAAUUAUCAAUCUUUAUUUCCCCCAACAUUCCAUAUUUAAGUAACAGUGGAAAGCCAGCAGAUGAUUCUUUCUUGAUGAUGAUCACGAUACUGAACACAGAAGUAUGAAACUAGAGAAGAUUAAAAAAAAAAAAAAAAAAAUAGAGAGGAUUUGCACAAUACCUUCAAAUGAUAGAAAGUAGCAUUUGCCAUGGGAGAUGAAAAGACUGAAGCAAUUCAUAUACCAGCUGCUAAGAAGAAUUCUGACAUAUUGAAAAGAUGCAGUCUAAGGUAGCAAUAAAUGCCGGUUUCCGGAAAAUGGAAAAAGUUACAAGGAAAAAAGAAGCUCUCCAAACUCCAAAGCAGGCUCUUUACUUACUGGUGAGGCCAUGGAAAUAUAUCAUGCACCUGUUCUUUGGAAUUCCAUUUGUGGAUAACUCUAAUCAAUCCGGGGAUAAUUUAUCAAUCACAAAUGAAAUUGAUACUCAGAAACAUUGGUUAUUUCCGCUAAUCUUGAAAGUUCUAUUAAAGAAGGUUGAAGUAUUUACAGCACAUGAAGAUGCUGAAAGUGAUAUAGGAGUCAGUGAAACCUUUUGGAAUGUAUGCAUCUGACCAUCUUAACCAACAAUGAUGUUGAAACCGUUAAAGGCUUGUUAACUAAGUUUGAAAAGACUGCUUCUGAUUUGAAUGAUGACUCCCACAUGCAACUUAUAAAUAUUUACGUUCUUAAGCCACAGAUUGUUGAAAGCACGAGGGUUUGCCAAAUAAUUCAGACUGUAAUUCAUCUUCUAAUGAGAGCAUUUAAAGAGGAAGGUGGGGAACAUAGGAAUGGUCUUGUAGAGACUUAGAAUUGAAGUUUCUUGGUUGAAUUCUCAAGAUAGUUGGCAACCAGCACAUUUGCACUUGAGAUUAUUAUGAUCCGUUAUCAUAUUGAGCAAUCAAUUAGCUGGAUAAAGUCAGCAUUCAGGUGAACACACUCCAAAGUUGGAUUUUGCUGAAUUAGAAAUACGCAAAAUUUGGGAAUCACGAAACAUAUUUGACACCUUUAUGCAAGGAGGAAGAUAAGAGUGCAAGAUUAACAGGCUAAAGUAAGCAUCUUUUCCCCGUUUGGCGGCAAAGUUAGUGGCAGACCACAAGGCCUUCAAAAUAUUGUCCGUAUAGCAUGCCUCUGCAUUGCCUUGUGCUGUGCUCUUUUAUUUCAUGGAUCAUUACUGCUCUGUUAUUACAGAAAUGGUAGUAAGUAGAUUUUACCUUUAAUCAUGCGUUAUGGAAACUAUACUUUUUUUUGCUUUCUGACAUUUCAUUUUUAACCUUGACUUUCUCGGAGUUUAGGAAAGGUUAAAUUGUAAAUUUGAUCUCUAUUGUGGACUAUUUAUGAGGAUUUUAUCAAACUAUAGAGACUAUUUAUGAGGUUUUAUCAAACCAUAGAGACUAAAAUUCUAACUUUUAAACCAAUAGAAACUAAAUUCUAAUUUUCUCCAAACCAUAGGGACCAAAUUUGUAAUUUAACUUUAGAGAAAUGUCUUUAUAUCGACGGUGACCUUAUUAAUUUAUACAUAACAAAUACAUUAAAUAAGUUGGGAAUAAUAUAUAGGUUUUGUUUUUGUUCAACAACAUAUGUAUGGUAGGGGGCCAAAAUUAGUCUAGCUCAAUUGGCUUAAAGCUUGUGUUACCAACUUCGAAUUCAGAGAUUCAAUUUUUCCCACCCACAGUAAAAAAUUAAAAAAAAAAAAAAAAGCAAAAACAAACAUAUGGUAGGGGAUUGACUAAUUAAACUAUGUUCACAUUGACAGCUUACCUCUAGUUUGUUACACCUAAUUUGUUUUUAUUUUGUUUGUUUCUUUGUUGUUUGUUUGAUUUUGUUUUGUUUAGAAACUAGAAAUGGUUAAGAUAUUACCUUAGUGUAUUGUGAAAUUUUGAUUGAUAAGUAGAUACUUCCGUAAAUUGAAUAAUUCAACUUGAACUUGAAGAAACAAUAUAAUUUUCCUGAAAUAUUGUGGAUCUAAAAAUGCUUAUCAUGUGGCUGAGCUGUAGGAUCUGAAUUUGAGUGUUUAUAUAUAUAUAUAUAUAUAUAUAUAUAUAUAAAAACUGGAAUUUGAAGCAUUAGUUUCUUGUUUUCGGCAGUAGGUUUCUUGAAGAAAAAUAAGCAGUACAGCAUAUGUUAGUCAAUAACAUACGUAUAAACCAGAGGGGUGGGGCCUUAUCCCCAUGCAACUGUCUUCCUUUUGUUUAGUCCUUUUUCUUUAAGAAAUACAUUACAUUGCUGAUUAUUAUUAUCAUUAAUUUGGUUUUCUUGUUUUUCAUAAACUGGGAGCAUUGCGUAUCAUGAUGAACAGCAUUGUGUCGAUAUCGAUAAGACGUUGCUGUAUACGAGAAUAGGGAAGAAAUGAUUAGAGCUAAAGAGAAAUGCCAAUGGAUUCACCAUAAAGCCACCCCGUCGCUGGACGUGAAACCUAUGAUUCUCGACAUUCAUAGAUCCAGCAUCUACAUUAGCUCCAUGGCGAUCGCCUGAUCUACUGCGCAUUAGAGCCAAUGGAGUUGCACGAA